ACUCAAAGGAAUAGACGGGGACCCGCACAAGCAGCGGAGCAUGUGGUUUAAUUCGAAGAUACGCGAAAAACCUUACCAAGACUUGACAUGUCCUGCAUAGCCGCGAAAUCGGUGAAAUUUUAGCAAUAAAACAGGAACACAGAUGGUGCAUGGUUGUCGUCAGCUCGUGUCGUGAGAUGUUCGGUUAAGUCCGUCAACGAGCGCAACCCUUGUUUCCAGUUGCCAGCAUUAAGUUGGGCACUCUGGAGAGACUGCCGUGGUUAACACGGAGGAAGGUGGGGACGACGUCAAAUCAUCAUGCCUCUUACGUCUUGGGCUACACACGUGCUACAAUGGCCGCUACAAACAGUCGCAAAGUGGUAACACUAAGCCAAUCUGAAAAAAGCGGUCUCAAUUCGGAUUGAGGGCUGAAACCCGCCCUCAUGAAGUCGGAGUUGCUAGUAAUCGUGAAUCAGCAUGUCACGGUGAAUGCGUUCCCGGGUCUUGCACACACCGCCCGU
rnacentral:rRNA from 1 species